GACCCAAUGGUGUAAUUAAUCACGCCCGCUUUGAAUCAGCGUGUAAAGUUCUGGCGGAAGUCACCCGUUCGAGUCGGGUUUGGGUUA